rnacentral:snRNA from 1 species
UACGGACAAGGGGAAUCC